AAGCAGGGGGGGGGUUGGGUGACAAGAUUGUGGGAAUACCCUAAUAUCUAGUUUUGUAAUGUCUCCAAUCACAGAAGCUCAAGGGAGCAGGCUCUUCUUAAGCCUGAAUGUACAAAAAUCAUCAUCAGAUGUUCCAAAUAAGCUAAUUAAAAUUGCUACAGAGCCAGUAUUGAAGCCUCCAGCACACAUAUAUAACCACUCGAUAACAACUGGCAAAGGACUGUUAGUUUUAUUCUCCGCAUUUACCGGUGGUAACCAAUUCAAAAGCCAAUUGCUACCCUUUACCCUGGUUACCACUGGUAAAUAGUGCACAAUAAAAGUUGAUUGAUUGAUUUAAUUUGACAGUUUAAUGAUCUGUUGAUUGUGUAAGACCCUUUUUUGUAAAAAAAAAAAGAACAGAAUGGUGUUAUUUGAAAAAUUCGAAUUAUGGAGGACACAAAAGAUCAUAUGAAAGUGAGCACCUUUAUUACAUCCUUGCAAGGAAAGAUGAGCAAACCUCCAACACAACAAAACUUUCCAGAGUUCAACAGAUUUUUAUUCUGCUGCUCUUUACAAACCUAUGUAAAUAACCAGGAAGUAAGCGUAAAUAGUACUUACCACUAUAGGAGAUUUUCCCUUCAUCUAUCAGCACGGCUUAUAUUUAAAUUCUCUGGUCAGUGAAAUUUCCACGGCUGAUUUCCAUAAACGCUUCUGUGUGUGCAUAAACUAAUUAACCGCGCGGCCAUGGGCCGAGCGCGGUUCAUGUUCUACCCUUGGUUUAUUUAUUUAUUUUUAUUUAUUUUUUGUCGGAAACCAGACGCAGAUCUCCACUCGGCCAACUUUGAAUUACGCAAUUUGUAAUGUUUACUCGCCAAACCUUGUUUCUUCAGGGUCAACAAAAAUCUCAGAUUGCAAAAUCACGCCGAACCUUCACGUUGCAAAAAAAUCUCUUCAAAACCCUGACAUCGAAGCGAUAUAUCACUUUAGCGUUAAUAGCUACCACACAUCGGCAGAAGGUAAAUCUAUUCCUUAACAAUCCAGCUUUAUCGUUUUAAAAUUUCAGCGAAAUCGAACAAAACCAGAACUAAUUAGAAUUUUUUUUGUCACCUCGCUCUUUUGCUUGACCCAACAAAGGAAGCGACGGUCGCCCAUGGCAAACGAAAAACACGAACAUAACACGAACCGACGUUUCGGUCAAAAAAAAUCCAGAAUUAUUGCCUGAGAGCUUAAAAUUGAAUGGGAACAUCUUUUUCGAGCUUUUUAACUGAUUGAGACGUAAAAAUGGCCUCGGCGGGCUGCAAAAACACAAAGGAAAA